rnacentral:lncRNA from 1 species
UCCUACUUUGGAGGAGUAUGCACGAUUGAUGAUGUUGCCUCUAGACAGACCUUGCGUGCAUAUGGUGAUGAGAGACAUGAGUAGACAGUUCAUGACUCUCACAGGAUUGAGGCGCAGAGUGGUGCAGGAUGAGAUUACAUCCGGCCAUGUUAUAUCCCAGCGUUUCCUGUUUGACAGGUUUGGCUUUGAGGACAGCUAUGCACGACAUUCUGGGGAUUUCACCACACCGGAGGAUCAUUGGC